CUUGUGGCAGAAUGUCUCUCCCACAGACUACAGGCACCCCACACUUGAGCUUGACAUUUUGGAAGCUCAAAGAGCAACAGCCUGGCUGUAGAGCCUUCCCAUGCAAAAGAAUUGUUCUUGUCCGAUAGAUCUGACAAAGCAUUUCUGUGCUUUCACUUCAGGCUUAGACCCUUGCUGAUUGUAUUUCCUAAGUCCCUGUCCUCUGCCGCCAGCUGCCCUUGCCCCUCCUCCCUUCCCUCCCUUGAACUUGAGCGCUCUGGUUCAGAGAACAUUGGCCUUGCCUCUGCGUGCUCUCUCUGUUGGCUGGCCCUCUAAGCCCUGCGUGCUCAGUUUAGGCUUUGCCUUUCUAGCUGCUCCCUCAUCCGGUCCCUCUCCUGCCUCCUUCCCUCCCUCCCCUGUGUCUUGACUGUGGUGCUCAGCACACCAAGCUGAAAUUCUUGGUCCACGUGAUUCUCCCCCACAUACAGCCACAAGUUUCUUCUGGGCAGAAACUGUCUUGUUCAUCUGUGAAUCACCAGGUCCCAGGGCGAUGCUCACCACAGAGCUGGUGCAUGGGGCCAACUGUUAGAAGCUUGCUGAAUGAAUAAAGGAACCCACAAAUGGAAAGGACCAACUCCACAGGCCUCAACACAGACAUGCACCACCUUCCCAUCUCAUUCCUCCUGUGCUGAAGUCGUCACAGAGCUCAGUGACCUCUCUCAAUUCAAGACUUGUGACGGUUGAGUCCUACACAGCUGAGAAAAAUGAACUAUUCAUUCCUAGGGGAGCAGUGUCAGGAAAGAUUGUAGGUGGAGUCUUUCCUCAGGACCUCCAGCCAGCUCCCAAAUAACCACACAGAGCUUAUUAUUAAUUAUAAAUGCUCGGCUGAUAGCUGAGGCUUGUUACUAACUAGCUCUUACACAUGGCAGUACCUUUUUUCCAGCUUUGCACAUCUAUCUUCCCUUUCUCUGUGUCUCCUGACAGUCACACCUUCUUCUAUCCCAUGCUCUUUUUUUGUCCCACCUAACCUUUUCCUGCCCAGCUAUUGGCCAGUCAGCUCUCUAUUAACCAAUGCAAGUAACACAUAUCCUCAGUGUACUAAAAGAUUGCUCUUCAGAGUUUCAGGGUAAUCUCAUCACUUUAGCUGUGUGACUCUGGACAAGUCACUUCACUGGCAUGAGCAUUAGUUUUGUUUGUAAGAUGAGGGUCAAUAAUGUCUUCAGGACCAAACUUGACAAGGUAUGCCCAGUAGAGCAUGUUUAGCACCAUAACUGGUGCACACGAGGGACCUGGAAGUAGGU
rnacentral:lncRNA from 1 species